ensembl:lncRNA
AGGAGACAGAAACGAGGAGAGAGAGGGAGACAGAAACGAGGAGAGGGAGACAGAAACGAGGAGAGGGAGACAGAAAUGAGGAGAGAGAGGGAGACAGAAACAGGAGAGAGGAGACAGAAACGAGGAGAGAGCAGAAACGAGGAGAGAGAGACAGAAACGAGGAGAGAGAGAGAGAGACAGAAACGAGGAGAGAGAGACAGAAACGAGGGUUAGAGAGACAAACGAGGAGAGAGAGACAGAAACGAGGAGAGGGAGAGAAACGAGGAGAGGGAGACAGAAACGAGGAGAGAGAGGGAGACAGAAACGAGGAGAGAGAGGGAGACAGAAACGAGGAGAGAGAGGGAGACAGAAACGAGGAGAGGGAGACAGAAACGAGGAGAGGGAGACAGAAACGAGGAGAGAGAGAGAAAGAACAAGGAGCGAGAGAGAGAGAGACAGAACGAGGAGAAACAAAAGAACAAGGAGAGAGAGAAACGAGGAGAGAGAGAGAGAGAGACAGAAACGAGGAGAGAGAAAGAAACGAGGAGAGAGAGAGAGAGAGACAGAAACGGAGAGAGAGAGAAAGAAACAAGGAGCGGAGAGAGAGAGACAGAAACGAGGAGAACAAAAGAAACAAGGAGAGAGAGAAACGAGGAGAGAGAGAGAGAGAGACAGAAACGAGGAGAGAGAAAGAAACGAGGAGAGAGAGAGAGAGAGACAGAAACGAGGAGAGAGAGAGACAGAAACGAGGAGAGAGAGAGAGAGAGAGAAAGAAACGAGGAGAGAGAGAGAAACGAGGAGAGAGAAAGAGAGAGAGAGAGAGAGAGAGAGAGAGAGACAGAAACGAGGAGAGAGAGACAGAAACAGGAGAGACUGCUGGACAGAAGAGAGGAGAGAGAGACAGCAAGUAAGAGAGAUGGACAGAACGAGACAGGCAGAGAAAAGGAGUGAGACGUGAAGAGAAAUAAAUGGAGACGGACAGAGGAGAAGAAAGAAAGAGGGACAGUAAAUAAGAGAGACGGCUGUAAUAGAAGAGUCAGCCUCAGUGAAGGAGGCGUGGCCUCUGUGUCUGUUUUUGUGAAGGGGGUGUGGGAUCUGUGUCAGUUUUGGUGAAAGAGGCGUGGCCUAUUUUUUGUGUUUUGUUAAUUGUUUCCUUAUACUUAGCCUGUGUGUGUGUGUGUGUGUGUGUGUGUGUGUGUGUGUGUGUGUGUGUGUGUGUGUGUGUGUGUGAGAUCUGAAGGCCGCUGCUCCCAGUCACACUCUUUCGGACUGUGAUUAAUGUAAUCUCUCUGUUGCCAGAUGGUGGUGAAGAAGCUCCAUCAAUCAAAAUGAAAACUAUUGAGCAGUUCUCACAAAAACUCUCACCACACACACAUACACACACACACACACACACAUACACACACACACACACACAGACACAUGGUUUAAGGUUCUAGCUUGGCUGCAGCUCUAAUGGAAGGAAAAAUGUUGAUCUGGCAACCUAUUGAACAGGAACUAGAGUCAAUCUGGCAACCCUGAUCAAUAUACAUAUUUUAUAACAUGCUUCUUAAAAAAGGUAAAAUAAUAAUAAGCAAUAAUUGUAGAGCGCUUUUCUGACACAUGCUGAGCAGUCAAUAAUAAACAACCUAAAUUUAAAAAAGAAUAAUUUUCAUAAUAUUAAUAUAAGAUGUCACUGAAUCCAGAAAUUUCUACAUUUUUACUGGAGGGAUAUAAUCUAAUCUGGCCACCCUGACUACUUCUUUCACUGUAUGUACUGUGUGUACAUGUUUAAUCAGAAACUCUUUCAAUUGUUUGUUUAUUCAUUUCAUUCUUUUAAUCAAUUUUAUUGAUAUAAACCCUUUAGCAUUUUGCUGACUAAAUCUGGCAACCCUUGUAGUGACAUCACACUCUCUCUCGGCUCUCUCUCGCUCUCUCUCUCUCGCGCUGCCGUUUACAGCUCGGUGUUCAGCUCCGAGGUCGUGUUGUUCUUUACGCUGUGUCUGAUUACACACGAUUAAUUACCGCAAUUCGUUUGCGUUGCGUUUAAUUACGCUGAUUUAAAUCUGCUGCUGCUGUUCUUCUUGUUUUCUCUGCGUGAUUGUAAAAGACAAACCUCUGUGCUUCACUUCCUCAGUGUUGGAGGAACACACACACACACACUCAUACAUACACACACAUGCACAUACUUCAAACUGUACAUGUUAGAGCGCUUUUUAUAGGAAAUACACAGAAAUCCCCUGGCAUCUGGGGACUACAUGGAAUCAUUAUAUCUCUGAUCAUGAUGGAUCUGACUCGCUCCAUUUACAGUCAUCAUCCGUUCAUCCAUCCCGCCAUCCAUCUAUCAGUCCAUCCAUCCACCCCUCCAUUCAUUUAUUCAUAACUCAAUCCAUUCAUCCACCCAUCCAUCCAUCAGUCUGUCCAUCCACCCAUCCCUCCAUUCAUUUAUCCGUCCAUUCGUCGGGGGUUCAGGCCCCAGCACUGCCAAGCUGCCUCUGUUGGGCCCUUGAGCAAGGCCCUUAACCCUCUCUGCUCCAGGGGGCGCUGUUUCAUGGCUGACCCUGUACUCUGACCCCAACUUCCUGACAUGCUGGGGUAUGCGAAAUAAAGCAUUUCACUGUGCUGUAAUGUAUGUGUGAUAAAUAAAGACUCGUUAUCAUUAUCUAUCCAUCCAUCAGUCCAUCAGUCCAUCUAUCUGACUCUCCCUGAUGUUGCUUAUUGACAAAGUAUGUACUUUAGUCCUUCAACCAAUCUGGCAACCCGGGCCAUUCAAAUCUAUGUAUUUACAUGUAAAGAUCAGACAAUUCUGAUUAUCUGACUGAACUUAAUCCAAUCUGGCAACCCUGAUCACUUCACAUCCAUUAAUCUCCGAGUCGUUCUGCACUUUCCAGUCUGAUCGUGAUAUAAAAUACACCUGGAG